GUAACACGUGGAUAACCUACCUAUAAGACUGGGAUAACUUCGGGAAACCGGAGCUAAUACCAGAUAACAUGUUGAACCGCAUGGUUCAACAGUGAAAGACGGUCUUGCUGUCACUUAUAGAUGGAUCCGCGCCGCAUUAGCUAGUUGGUAAGGUAACGGCUUACCAAGGCAACGAUGCGUAGCCGACCUGAGAGGGUGAUCGGCCACACUGGAACUGAGGCACGGUCCAG
rnacentral:rRNA from 1 species